rnacentral:siRNA from 1 species
UAGACCAAGGGGCCGAGUGUGC